GGAGAGAUGCUGGAGCUGGUUUAACAGGCCGGUCUUGAAAACCGGUGUACCUUUGCGGGUACCGUGGGUUCGAAUCCCACUCUCUCCGCCA
rnacentral:tRNA from 1 species